AACGAACGCUGGCGGCGCGUCUUAAACAUGCAAGUCGAACGGCAGGAAGGGGCUUGCCCCUUCUGAGAGUGGCGGACUGGUGAGUAACACGUGGGUGACAUACCUUUUAGUUGGGGAUAGCUAUUAGAAAUAGUAGGUAAUACCGAAUGUGACCGUACCUGUUAGAGGGGUACGAGGAAAGGAGCUAAGGCUUCGCUAAAAGAAUGGCUCGCGGCCCAUUAUGCUCGUUGGUGAGGUAACGGCCCACCAAGGCGAUGAUGGGUAUCCGGCCUGAGAGGGUGAACGGACACAUUGGGACUGAGAUACGACCCAGACUUCUACGGGAGGCAGCAGUUAAGAAUAUUCCGCAAUGGACGAAAGUCUGACGGAGCGACGCCGCGUGGAUGAAGAAUGCCGAAAGGUUGUAAAAUCCUUUUAAGCCUGAUGAAUAAGCACAGUAGGGAAUGAUUGUGCGGUGACCGUAGGGCUUGAAUAAGCACCGGCUAAUUACGUG
rnacentral:rRNA from 1 species